rnacentral:precursor_RNA from 15 species
AAUCAUCUUAUGAUGCCCUCCCUGCGCCUCAUUUGUACCUAAUACAACAUUUGUAUAACAUGUCGAAAGUUGUAUUAUGUACAUGAGUGGUUCUUGGAGAAAAACCUUCUUUCCAGAU